CGUAUCACCCAAGACAACUUUACGGAGUUGACGAUUGACGGAGCGAAGCGACGUCAAAGCGUUCAUUAAAGUCGAGUUGGCUUAGGGAUACGUUCGUUGGGUAGGGGAGCGUUCUGUAAGCCUGUGAAGGUGGCCUGUGAGGGUUGCUGGAGGUAUCAGAAGUGCGAAUGCUGACAUAAGUAACGAUAAAGCGGGUGAAAAGCCCGCUCGCCGGAAGACCAAGGGUUCCUGUCCAACGUUAAUCGGGGCAGGGUGAGUCGACCCCUAAGGCGAGGCCGAAAGGCGUAGUCGAUGGGAAACGGGUUAAUAUUCCCGUACUUGGUGUUACUGCGAAGGGGGGACGGAGAAGGCUAUGUUGGCCGGGCGACGGUUGUCCCGGUUUAAGCGUGUAGGUGUGUGUUCCAGGUAAAUCCGGUUCACUUUAACACUGAGGCGUGACGACGAGGCACUACGGUGCUGAAGCAACAAAUGCCCUGCUUCCAGGAAAAGCCUCUAAGCAUCAGGUAACAUCAAAUCGUACCCCAAACCGACACAGGUGGUCAGGUAGAGAAUACCAAGGCGCUUGAGAGAACUCGGGUGAAGGAACUAGGCAAAAUGGUGCCGUAACUUCGGGAGAAGGCACGCUGACAUGUAGGUGAAGUGAUUUACUCAUGGAGCUGAAGUCAGUCGAAGAUACCAGCUGGCUGCAACUGUUUAUUAAAAACACAGCACUGUGCAAACACGAAAGUGGACGUAUACGGUGUGACGCCUGCCCGGUGCCGGAAGGUUAAUUGAUGGGGUCAGCGCAAGCGAAGCUCCUGAUCGAAGCCCCGGUAAACGGCGGCCGUAACUAUAACGGUCCUAAGGUAGCGAAAUUCCUUGUCGGGUAAGUUCCGACCUGCACGAAUGGCGUAAUGAUGGCCAGGCUGUCUCCACCCGAGACUCAGUGAAAUUGAACUCGCUGUGAAGAUGCAGUGUACCCGCGGCAAGACGGAAAGACCCCGUGAACCUUUACUAUAGCUUGACACUGAACAUUGAGCCUUGAUGUGUAGGAUAGGUGGGAGGCUUUGAAGCGUGGACGCCAGUCUGCGUGGAGCCGACCUUGAAAUACCACCCUUUAAUGUUUGAUGUUCUAACGUGGACCCGUAAUCCGGGUUGCGGACAGUGUCUGGUGGGUAGUUUGACUGGGGCGGUCUCCUCCUAAAGAGUAACGGAGGAGCACGAAGGUUAGCUAAUCCUGGUCGGACAUCAGGAGGUUAGUGCAAAGGCAUAAGCUAGCUUGACUGCGAGCGUGACGGCGCGAGCAGGUGCGAAAGCAGGUCUUAGUGAUCCGGUGGUUCUGAAUGGAAGGGCCAUCGCUCAACGGAUAAAAGGUACUCCGGGGAUAACAGGCUGAUACCGCCCAAGAGUUCAUAUCGACGGCGGUGUUUGGCACCUCGAUGUCGGCUCAUCACAUCCUGGGGCUGAAGUAGGUCCCAAGGGUAUGGCUGUUCGCCAUUUAAAGUGGUACGCGAGCUGGGUUUAGAACGUCGUGAGACAGUUCGGUCCCUAUCUGCCGUGGGCGCUGGAGAAUUGAGGGGGGCUGCUCCUAGUACGAGAGGACCGGAGUGGACGCAUCACUGGUGUUCGGGUUGUCAUGCCAAUGGCAUUGCCCGGUAGCUAAAUGCGGGAGAGAUAAGUGCUGAAAGCAUCUAAGCACGAAACUUGCCCUGAGAUGAGUUCUCCCUGACCCUUUAAGGGUCCUGAAGGAACGUUGAAGACGACGACGUUGAUAGGUCGGGUGUGUAAGCGUAGCGAUACGUUGAGCUAACCGAUACUAAUGAACCGUGAGGCUUAACCUUACAACGCCAAAGGUGUUUUG
rnacentral:rRNA from 1 species